rnacentral:rRNA from 1 species
UACAGAGGUCCCAAGCGUUGUUCGGAUUCAUUGGGCGUAAAGGGCGCGUAGGCGGCCUUCUAAGUCAGACGUGAAAUCCCUCGGCUCAACCGGGGAACUGCGUCUGAGACUGGAAGGCUUGAAUCCGGGAGAGGGAUGUGGAAUUCCAGGUGUAGCGGUGAAAUGCGUAGAUAUCUGGAGGAACACCGGUGGCGAAGGCGGCAUCCUGGACCGGUAUUGACGCUGAGGCGCGAAAGCCAGGGGAGCAAACUGG